rnacentral:miRNA from 14 species
CAGUGGAGAUGCUGUUACUUU